rnacentral:rRNA from 1 species
CAGGCCUAACACAUGCAAGUCGAACGCUCGUCUUCGGACGGGAGUGGCAGACGGGUGAGUAACGCGUGGGAACGUACCCUCCGGUUCGGGAUAACCCAGGGAAACUUGGGCUAAUACCGGAUACGUGCUAUGGCAGAAAGGCUUGCCGCCGAAGGAGUGGCCCGCGUUCGAUUAGCUUGAUGGCGGGGUAACGGCCCACCAUGGCGACGAUCGAUAGCUGGUCUGAGAGGAUGGCCAGCCACAUUGGGACUGAGACACGGCCCAAACUCCUACGGGAGGCAGCAGUGGGAAUAUUGGACAAUGGGCGCAAGCCUGAUCCAGCCAUGCCGCGUGAGUGAUGACGGCCUUAGGGUUGUAAAGCUCUUUCGCACGCGACGAUAAUGACGGUAGCGUGAGAAGAAGCCCCGGCUAACUUCGUGCCAGCAGCCGCGGUAAU